rnacentral:ncRNA from 18 species
UUUCAUAUGGAACGUGAUGAAAAGCUAUCUGUACAUGGGCACUUGGGUAGUUUGGAGCAGCUAGUGCAACCGGCCAAUUUUGUC